rnacentral:lncRNA from 1 species
ACUCAAAAUCCGUCAGCGUCAUUAGCUCCAGAACAGCUGACCCGGUCGAAACGAGCUAUUGGACUGCUAUGAACAGAGUCCGGUACGAGCCAGAAGCCAACUUCUCACCGCGGCUUCUCCGGAAAAUCGAGUUACUAUUCACUUUAAGUGAAACUUGGAAAUCGCGUAGAAUUUCCGUUUUAACUCGAUUUCGCCCGAAACUUGACGAGUGCUUUUGUAAUUAAAAUACACACAAAAACAUCGUCAACUGAGAGUUUAGCUACACUGCAAAAAUCUCAGUCCUUACAUUAUGUUUGUUAACGAUUUAUCUAUUACUCUUUAUGAAUCCCCAAUGUUUUAAGCUGAUGUGGCAUAAUCUCCUAAUUUUGAAUUUUUUUUAUUUAAUGAACCAUUUUAUUCUCUCUCUCUCAACAUACGUCCCCUCAUCUCCCCUAUUCAAUUUUCUUUUUUAUUUAGAAUGAGGCACUUUACUCUCUCUCUCUCAACAUACGUCUCCUCAUCUCCCCCAUUCUUUAUUUCUCGAUCCUUCCCACUCUGUGUCCCCUGUUUUCCUCCCCCUCCAUCUCCCCCUUCACCC